CUGACAAUCACUUGCCCUUGUGAAAAUUACUUAUCAUAGCAUAUGUCAAUAUUGCUUUCACUUUAUAUUGUUCACUUAUCAUUUUUCAGAUGCACUUACAUUCUCAGUCACAUUUUUAUUAAGGUUUAUAAUUACUAUUUUUAGUCUGUUAAGAUUUUCAUUGCACGAUACCGUUUCUACGGGCAUCAACGAGGGCACUAAGGAUUCCCUUUACCAUGUGGGUACAUCAUUUAUCACUUAUCAUUUCCUCAAU
rnacentral:lncRNA from 1 species